rnacentral:rRNA from 1 species
UACGUAGGGUCCGAGCGUUGUCCGGAAUUAUUGGGCGUAAAGAGCUCGUAGGCGGUGUGUCACGUCGGCCGUGAAAACCUGCAGCUUAACUGUGGGCGUGCGGUCGAUACGGGCAUCACUGGAGUUCGGCAGGGGAGACUGGAAUUCCUGGUGUAGCGGUGAAAUGCGCAGAUAUCAGGAGGAACACCAAUGGCGAAGGCAGAUCUCUGGGCCGUAACUGACGCUGAGGAGCGAAAGCAUGGGGAGCGAACAGG